AUGGGAGGAGGACACGGCCACGGCGGUACAACCUACAAAGGUGUAACCAUUCAUCAACCUAAGCGCUGGCACACCGUCACCGGCAAAGGCUUGUGCGCUGUCAUGUGGUUUUGGGUGAUGUACAGGGCAAAGCAAGAUGCUCCUGUAGUACUGGGCUGGAGGCAUCCCUGGGAGGGUCAUGAUGACCACGGAACCGGCCAUUAA